UUCCACGUUUUCCGCGCCGUAGCUAACGCAUUAAGUGCCCCGCCUGGGGAGUACGGCCGCAAGGCUAAAACUCAAAGGAAUUGACGGGGGCCCGCACAAGCGGCGGAGCAUGCGGAUUAAUUCGAUGCAACGCGAAGAACCUUACCAAGGCUUGACAUUCACCGGACCGCCCCAGAGAUGGGGUUUCCCUUCGGGGCUGGUGGACAGGUGGUGCAUGGUUGUCGUCAGCUCGUGUCGUGAGAUGUUGGGUUAAGUCCCGCAACGAGCGCAACCCUCGUUCUAUGUUGCCAGCACGUGAUGGUGGGGACUCAUAGGAGACUGCCGGGGUCAACUCGGAGGAAGGUGGGGAUGACGUCAAAUCAUCAUGCCCCUUAUGUCUUGGGCUUCACGCAUGCUACAAUGGCCGGUACAAAGGGUUGCGAUACUGUGAGGUGGAGCUAAUCCCAAAAAGCCGGUCUCAGUUCGGAUUGAGGUCUGCAACUCGACCUCAUGAAGUCGGAGUCGCUAGUAAUCGCAGAUCAGCAACGCUGCGGUGAAUACGUUCCCGGGCCUUGUACACACCGCCCGUCAAGUCACGAAAGUUGGUAACACCCGAAGCCGGUGGCCUAACCCCUUGUGGGAGGGAGCCGUCGAAGGUGGGACUGGCGAUUGGGACUAAGUCG
rnacentral:rRNA from 1 species